rnacentral:pre_miRNA from 1 species
UGAUCCUAUUCUUUACUAGCGCUCACCUCGUGACCUUUGUCAGUGUUGGACUAAGGCACGCGGUGAAUGCCAGAUGAAAGGAUGA